rnacentral:lncRNA from 1 species
UGGAGUCGUUGAUCAAAAUGAUCCAACGACUCCCUCCCGUCUCUCAUCUUAACUAUCCACCCCACCCCAAACCUUAAUCAUUUCCCACGGUAGCGACCACCUCUCUUUCUGUUUCCUCUCCAUGUUCUCUUAUCUCACUGACCCUUAUCAUUCCUAAAACCUUGCACAAAUUCGUGCAAGGUCACUAGAAAUCAAAACCAGACAUCUAUCCUGUCUCUUUCAACCAAAAAUCCCACCAGGUUUUUCCCUUUUCAUCACCAAGAUUUGAAUCCCAAAUCCCCAAAUCCCCAGAACAAAUGAUGCGAACAAGAAUCUUAUCAUCCCCCCCCUCCCCCCGUUCUUUCAAAUCAAUACAUGUAUGAUAUGAAUCUUGACCUCAUUGUCAUGAUUCUUUGUCUAGAUGUCAAACGGACUGAGCUAUGGACAUGGGCUUUAACCAAUGGCUCUUUUCUCUUCAACUGUCGACCUUUUCCACCAUAUUGGUGCCAAGGUAAAAAUAUCGACUCUACUUUCCCUCUGAUUUCCUCUACUUUUACUUUUUUUGCUUUCAUCUGCCUUCAAUCCAUACUUUUCACUAUCUGUGAAUUCAAAUGAAGCCCUAAGUCUUCAAUGCUACUAUAAAUAGAGCUUCUAACUCUCUCACCAAACACAAAGGAAAAAUAUUAAAAAAACACACAAACACACAUUAAAGUCUGAGAAAUUUCUUUUGGCUUAAGUAUUCUGAAGUGCUUCUCGAAUUUCUCUUUUCUUUUCUUUCAUUCAUGCUCGAGUUCGAUUACUGUAAGUUGAUUGUGAGGUUGGGUUCUUAAAUGAACACAUAUCAUCCUUACUUGGUUUGUUUCUCCAAAGAAGGUCAGUGAACACUGACCUCCCACUUUCAUUCCUCAAUUGCAUAUGUGGCUCUCUGCUUAUGAUGUCCACCUAUUAAUUGCAUGUUGUUCAUGAUAUUCAUCAGUAACAUGUGAGUCUUUUAUUGUAUUUUGUAUUUGUGUUAUCCUUGUUUUAAAAUUAAUGAUGCUUUCCUGAUGAUUAUCUCUGUGUUGUUGUUAAAUCUAUGAUGGUUGAUGAAAUUUGUUUCUCAUAACUUAGUUAGCUAAAAUGAUUCUACAUUGUUGUCAUCCUCAUCGGUAAUCUUGUUGAGCCUUCAUGCUAAGUUUAAUUUUACUCUAUGUUAUAUACUACAUGUGGUCUAUCCCUGUUGAUUGAGUAAUAACCAUAUUCAUACUAUCAUGUUGACUAAGUUGAUUGAACCAUAUUCCUUAAUUUUUCUUGAUAUCCUAUUUAACUUGUUAAAAUCUUUAUAGCUGAAGAAUUAUGCUAUCUUGAUCCUCAUGCCUAUGAUGUAUGUUGUACUGGUUUAGUUCAAUGACUGAUCCUCAUUACUGGUUUCGUUCAUGUUAUCAUGUUAAUAUGUUUACUUAGCUAUGUGACUCUAAUUGACAGCUUGUUUAUGACAUUAUUUACUUAGCUAUGUGAUUCUAGUUAAAUGCUUGAGUGUGAUACUGUGAUGUUCUACACAUUUAGGAUAAAACGAUUCAUGUGUCUAUUAUGAUAAUUUGAAAUAACAGGAAUCGUGUAGUGAACUUUUUUGGAAUGAAUUAUUAAUAAAUAUGCUUACAUGUCUCAAUAUAAACUUUCUAUAUCUUGUUUGUCAUGUCCUGGUCAGCUGCAGAAUGAAUGCCUCUACUUGUUAUUCCAUGACUAUUUGACAACACUGUUUAGAGGGCCCUCACUCAUGAAUCUGAGUAUAGUUCGUUACGAUAAUUUAAAAGUCUGAUUGACUGUGCAUUGUCAUGAUUAGAUACCAUGAUCAUUAGGUUUAGGUAAAAACUAGAAUUAGCCUUCCUAUUCAAGUUAAUUACCCAUUGAUCUAGUUGAUUGGUAUGCCCUUUGGGAACUCUGAAUACUGCCAUAAGUUUUCAAUAUAGGGAAUUCUUAGAUAUAUGCCUACUUGCUUUGGAAAGUUAUGUUGAAACUGUUAUGAUGUACGUAACAUGUUCUAGUGAUGUAAACCUACUUAAGGGAAGUUCAAAAGUGUUUAGACCUUCAAUGAAGAUAAUAAAAUAAAUGUAUAUGUUUAUCUUUGUCCACUACUGAUGCCUUAGACUACUUAAUGUGGCACUCCUGAGCUUGAAAUUGUAAGUGAUAGAGUAUGUUUACUAGCAGCAUGUAACAAACUACAUGUGCUAUGUGACCCUUGUUUGAUUGUGUCCUAGUAGUGAUUCUCACAAGUGGUUUGUACAUGUUGUGAUACUUUAGCAUCAACCUCAGGGCCUUUAAUGAUAUUGGAACUCUAAAAGUCCACAUGUAGUAACUAGUCUUUAUAUUUUGUGUUUUUGAUGAGAAGUCUUAAGGUCAAUACUGUGUUAGUCAUUAGCUGCUUAUGCUCUUGUACUCUAAUGAUGGUUGCAAUGCUUAAUAUGACUAUUUGGUACCUUUGUUUGGCUAAAUCAUUGAAAGGGUUUAUGAUGAACCUUCUGUACUUAUCUCUGUCAUGCUAACUAAGUGAAACUGCCGAGUUAACAUUUGUUUGUGCUCAAACCUUUGAGGAAGAACGAGGGUCAAUGUUCAAGGGUAUUUGGGUGUGAGCCUGGUUUUGUGGUUGAGGUACACUUUCCUGGCACAAGUACUGCUCGGGGUUCAUUAGACCCUCGUGAACUUUGAAGUGUCAGUGGUCCAUUGGGGGACUUCAUAAAUAAACAUGGUUCACCCUAAGCCCUUAGUCACUAACCUUAAUUAAUCUUCAUAGGGUUAACACAGAUGAAAAUUGAAUUUACUGUAUUCUUUAGAUUUUUUUGUUAUUAAUUAUUAUAAUUUUAUCUUACUUCAUCUUUAUAUUAACAUAUGCUAAUUAUCUUCUUUUUAUUUUUCUAUGCAUGAUUGUUUGGCCUGCUGAGUUCAUUUGGAACUCAGGCCCAAGCUCAGGGAAAUUGGGAUGCUUCCUCACCUAUUGGAGUGUAACGACCCGAUCAGUCAUUUUACUUUCUAGAUCUCCGUUCCCCUAAUUAAAACUCUCCAUAUGUUCUUUUACUAUUUUAUGACUUGCGGGGAUGGUUAGUUUGGGUUUGGAAGGGUUCGGAUUGAAAUCGAAAUACUUAGUUCCUUAAUAAUUGCUUAAAAGGGGUUAAUUUUGACUUGAGUCAACAUUUUAUGUAAAAGACCUCAGAACCGAGAUUUGACAUUCCCAAUACGUGUGUAUGAUGAUUUUGGACUUAGGCAUAUAUUCAGAUUGGGUUUCGGAUGACCUGGGAGCAUUUCGGCGCUUAAUAUUAAAUGUUUGGCGCAUUGAAGGUUUUCAAGUUCUUUAAGUUUGGUUUGGAGUAUGUUUUGUUGUUAUCGAGGUCCGUUAGGGAUUUUGAGCCCAGCGAAUAGUUCCGUAUUGUGAUCUAAGACUUGUACACAAAAUUUUAUGUCAUUACGAGUAGUCUAAGUGUGAUUCAGCGCGUUCGGGGCAAGUUGAAAACUUGCAGUUCAUAAUUUGAUUCAAUUUGAUUUUGGGGUACAAUUCUUAGUUUUAAUAUUAUAUUUCGUGUUUCGAGAGUUUGAGCAAGUCCGUAUUAUGGUUUUAGACUUGUUGAUUCUUUUGGAUGGGGUCCCCGAGGGAGGGGGGACUCGGGUACAUUUUGGACCGCUCGGAUAUAAGUAAAAAAUAAGUUGUUCUAGUUUCCUUCUUCGCGAAUGCGAAGGAAACCAUGCGAUCGCGAAGAAGGAAUUGGGGGACUCGGUGGUUUUGUGCUUCGCGUUCGCGAAGGCUUGGGGCUAGCGGCCUUCGCAUUCGAGGGAGACCUAUCACGUUCACGUAGAGUCAAGGACCUGGGAUUGGGCAACCCAGUUGCCUUAUGCGUUCACGAGAGAGGGCACAUAUUCGCGAUGAGAAGAUAGCCCAGUGCAUCGUGUUCGUGGGUGUCCUCUCGCGAUCGCGAAGGGAAAAAUUUCUAGGUUCGUCAGGUUUGCCUUCCCGAUCACGAGGGCUUGUCCGCGAUCGCAAUGAAGGCACAAACCUGGGCAGAAUAUUUUAAAAAACGGGACUUAGGCCAUUUUCUCUUAUUUUUUAUUUUUUUGGAUGAUUUUGGAGCUUCUUGGAGAGGGGUUAUCACCUAACUAUUGAAGGUAAGUAAUUCCUACCCAAUGUAAGUUUAAUACAUAGAUUAUUUGUAGAUUUUAACAUGCAAAAUGUGAAAAUUUUAGGAGAUUGUUGAAUAACCUAGGUUUUGAUAAAAAUGGGAUUUAGCCAUGAAAUGAUUAUGGAAUUGGGUAGAAAUUAUGUAUUUGAGUUCGUGAGAUUAUGGGUAAUAUUUAUCUUUAAAAAUUUUCAGAAUCCGGGCAUGUGGGCCUGGGGUGAAUUUUAGGAAUCUUCCAAUUUGGGUUGGGUAAUUUCUCUAAUAGCUAAAUUAUGAACUUGUGAAUGUAUAUUGAUUAAUAUAUAUAUAUAAUAUUUGGCUAGUUUCGGAUUGUUGGGCACCAAGUUGAGGCUUUAGAGUUGAUUUGUGAACCGAAAGUGAGCUUAAGAUCGAGGUUAGUCUCUUGCCUAACCUUGUAAGAGGGAACUCAUCCCCUUAGGUGUAUCUUGUUGUGUAUUACUUAUGUGAGAAGCGACGUACGCACUAGGUGACAAGAUUCCAUGUGUAGCUAUAUUCCAGGAGGUGUCCGGGUAUACUUAGGUCCACAUCAUGCCUUUAAUUGUACUAUUGAGUUUAUUAUGCAUAUCAAUUGUCUUGAAUAGAGAUGAGACUAGGGAUUAUAAAAGUUGCAAUGUUCGACUUAGAUUUCUUAUUUUUCGAUGAAUUGAGGAAUACUUAAUAACUCUAAGAAAUCCAUGUCCUCUCGCAUCGCAAGUACUUUCGCGAGAGAGGUAAACUUCUAUACUCUUAUGGGAUCGGGUCAUUCGCCUCGGCAGUGCGAUAACACUACUCUUAUGGGAGCAGGUCAUUCGCCUCGGUAGUAUAGUAGAUGCAUCUAUGAUUCGUAUCGUUAGACCCUCGGUAGUGCACACAGUAUUUUGGAUCGGUCCAUACGACCUCGGCAUAAAUCGUGCAUGAUAAUGCUGGGAGCCCGAAUACACUUGAUAUUAUUUUUAUGAGUUAAAAGGUUAUAAUUUAUUUAAUAGCCUGAAAUUGUUGAAGUUAGCAGUAUCAAUUGGAGAUUUUUAAUUUGGCUAUCAGUUAAAGAACCAUUUACUCAUUGCUGGUUAUUGUGUUAUUAUUAUUAUUAUUCAUGUAUUCCAUGCUUAUUUAGAAUUUCUGUGUUUUUAUUACUAGCACGUAGUAAGUGUCGAUGUCGACUCCUCGUCACUACUUCUUUGAGGUUAGACUGGAUACUUACUGGGUACAUGUUGUUUAUGUACUCACGCUACACUUUUGUACUAAUCAUGCAGGAUCUGAGACAGGUGCAUCUGGCAUUCAUUCAGGGACGCACCCCUAACACCCUGUGGCAUAGUGGUGAGCUGCUCUUUGAGUCCGUUCUGUAGCACCCGCAGUCUCUCUUUGAUAUUUACUUUUCAUCUAUCUUAUUUCAGAGAGUAGUAUAGAUAUUUUGUAUAUUCUACUAGUUGCUCAUAUACUUGUGACACCGGGUCUUGGGAAUAUGCUAGUAGACACUUUAUGGUUUUGGGUAUUUAUUUCACCGUAUCUUGCUCUUUCAUUGGUUCACGCUUUGCUUUACUAUAAUUAUC